GACGAACGCUGGCGGCGUGCUUAACACAUGCAAGUCGAACGAAGAGCGAUGGAAGCUUGCUUCUAUCAAUCUUAGUGGCGAACGGGUGAGUAACGCGUAAUCAACCUGCCCUUCAGAGGGGGACAACAGUUGGAAACGACUGCUAAUACCGCAUACGAUCUAAUCUCGGCAUCGAGGAUAGAUGAAAGGUGGCCUCUACAUGUAAGCUAUCACUGAAGGAGGGGAUUGCGUCUGCUUAGCUAGUUGGAGGGGUAACGGCCCACCAAGGCGAUGAUCAGUAGCCGGUCUGAGAGGAUGAACGGCCACAUUGGGACUGAGACACGGCCCAGACUCCUACGGGAGGCAGCAGUGGGGAAUCUUCCGCAAUGGACGAAAGUCUGACGGAGCAACGCCGCGUGAGCGAUGACGGCCUUCGGGUUGUAAAGCUCUGUUAAUCGGGACGAAAGGCCUUCUUGCGAAUAGUGAGAAGGAUUGACGGUACCGGAAGAGAAAGCCACGGCUAACUACGUG
rnacentral:rRNA from 1 species